ACAUUCAGAAAUCUGCUGUUUAGAGGAGUUCGGUAAUUGAAUCGAGGAGUUCCGAAUACCUGAGCAUGCGCAUAUAUUUAAAACUAACUGCGCAUGCGCAGAAUACGGAAGUAGCUGUGUUUGGACAUUUUGUAUUAGCAGUGAGGAAAUUCGGAAACACAAAAAGCAAAUGCAAGGUCUGCAAUGAAAAUCGACCGAUACCCGGGGGUCGGGCUAGUGGUUUUCUGCAAGAGGGUCGCCCCGUUGGCCAGUAAAAAAAGAUAAUAUUAUUUAUACACGUGCAAUACAUGCAAAGCACACCUGAGUUCAGAUACUGAAAGUGAACAUCAGUGGAACUUUGAUGAUCUAGGCCGCUCUAUUUUUGCAGCAACACCAGCAUGCGUCGGACAUUCAUAAAGUUGAAAGAACAAACCUAUGACUUGAACACACAAUUUGUGAUCUGAAUAUAGUUCACAAAUUUAAGGAAAGCAACUAUCAAAGACAUCCAGAUUGAUGGUAUACAUGAAGUAUGAAUGAAAGACUUUUCAGAAGAACAAGCACAAUCCCGAUUCAUUCUUGCCAUUGUCUUCUCCAGACGGUGACAUUUAGGACCUGACUUACUUUUCAGAAAAAGAAGAUGAAUCGAUUUUUGAUAGUUGAACUUAAAA